GACGAACGCUGGCGGCGUGCCUAAUACAUGCAAGUUGAGCGCUGAAGGUUGGUACUUGUACCAACUGGAUGAGCAGCGAACGGGUGAGUAACGCGUGGGGAAUCUGCCUUUGAGCGGGGGACAACAUUUGGAAACGAAUGCUAAUACCGCAUAAAAACUUUAAACACAAGUUUUAAGUUUGAAAGAUGCAAUUGCAUCACUCAAAGAUGAUCCCGCGUUGUAUUAGCUAGUCGGUGAGGUAAAGGCUCACCAAGGCGAUGAUACAUAGCCGACCUGAGAGGGUGAUCGGCCACAUUGGGACUGAGACACGGCCCAAACUCCUACGGGAGGCAGCAGUAGGGAAUCUUCGGCAAUAGACGAAAGUCUGACCGAGCAACGCCGCGUGAGUGAAGAAGGUUUUCGGAUCGUAAAACUCUGUUGGUAGAGAAGAACGUUGGUGAGAGUGGAAAGCUCAUCAAGUGACGGUAACUACCCAGAAAGGGACGGCUAACUACGUG
rnacentral:rRNA from 1 species